GUGGAGAAUAUUGGACAAUGGGCGCAAGCCUGAUCCAGCCAUGCCGCGUGAGUGAUGAAGGCCCUAGGGUUGUAAAGCUCUUUCACCGGUGAAGAUAAUGACGGUAACCGGAGAAGAAGCCCCGGCUAACUUCGUGCCAGCAGCCGCGGUAAUACGAAGGGGGCUAGCGUUGUUCGGAAUUACUGGGCGUAAAGCGCACGUAGGCGGACAUUUAAGUCAGGGGUGAAAUCCCGGGGCUCAACCCCGGAACUGCCUUUGAUACUGGGUGUCUGGAGUAUGGAAGAGGUGAGUGGAACUCCUAGUGUAGAGGUGGAAUUCGUAGAUAUUAGGAAGAACACCAGUGGCGAAGGCGGCUCACUGGUCCGGUACUGACGCUGAGGUGCGAAAGCGUGGGGAACAAACAGGAUUAGAUACCCGUGUAGUCC
rnacentral:rRNA from 1 species